rnacentral:rRNA from 1 species
GAUGAACGCUGGCGGCGUGCCUAAUACAUGCAAGUCGAGCGAACGGACGAGAAGCUUGCUUCUCUGAUGUUAGCGGCGGACGGGUGAGUAACACGUGGAUAACCUACCUAUAAGACUGGGAUAACUUCGGGAAACCGGCGCUAAUACCGGAUAAUAUUUUGAACCGCAUGGUUCAAAAGUGAAAGACGGUCUUGCUGUCACUUAUAGAUGGAUCCGCGCUGCAUUAGCUAGUUGGUAAGGUAACGGCUUACCAAGGCAACGAUGCAUAUCCGACCUGAGAGGGUGAUCGGCCACACUGGAACUGAGACACGGUCCAGACUCCUACGGGAGGCAGCAGUAGGGAAUCUUCCGCAAUGGGCGAAAGCCUGGCGGAGCAACGCCGCGUGAGUGAUGAAGGUCUUCGGAUCGUAAAACUCUGUUAUUAGGGAAGAACAUAUGUGUAAGUAACUGUGCACAUCUUGACGGUACCUAAUCAGAAAGCCACGGCUAACUACGUG